rnacentral:tRNA from 1 species
UGGGACAUAGCUCAGUUGGUAAGAGUGUUUGUCUGGAAUGCAAAAGCCCUAAACUCCAUUCCCUGUCUCAU